GAGGUCAGUCUCUGGGUGAUGAGCGCAACGCUGGCUGGGCACUCAGGGUUUCUGUGGGGUGUGGAUGGAGCGUGCACUACUGUGAUUACUAUGCUUUGGAUAUCUGGGGCCCUGGCACCCUGGUCACCGUCUCCUCAGCGUCCUUCACCUCUCCUCGCAUCUUCCCACUGAGCAUCCCACGGGACGAGUCUGAAGACAGAGUGAUCAUUGGCUGCCUGAUCAAAGAUUUCUUCCCCAUGGGACCUGUGAAUGUGAACUGGAGCAAGGAUGGGAAAAUCACGAACUUCCCACCUGCCCUGGCUAGCGGAGGGAGCCUAUACACCAUGAGCAGCCAGCUGAACCUGACAGCCACUGACUGUCCAGAAGGCGCAAGGGCCAUUUGCUCUGUAGAGCAUGCUACAAGUGCCCCUCAAACCAAGGAUGUGUUUUGUCCAGUAGUACCACCAACAAUUCCACCACCAACAUGCCAAUGCCAGCCCAGCCUGUCACUGCAGCGGCCAGCCCUCGAGGACCUGCUCCUCGGCUCUGACGCCAGCCUUACAUGCACACUGAGUGGUCUGAGGAACAAAACUCCAGCUUCCUUUUCCUGGACACCUACAAAUGGGAAGGAAGCCAUUACGAAGCCUGCUGAGAUCGACUCCUGUGGCUGCUACCGCCUGUCCAGUGUGCUGCCUGGCUGUGCUGAACCCUGGAACCGUGGGGAGACCUUCACUUGCACAGUCACCCACCCUGACUUGGAGGGCUCCUUGACUGCCACCAUCAAAAAACCCUCAGAGAAUGUCUUCCGGCCUCAGGUCCACCUGCUGCCGCCGCCGUCGGAGGAGCUGGCACUGAAUGAGCUGGUGUCCCUGACAUGUCUGGUGCGGGGCUUCAGCCCUAAAGAGGUGCUGGUGCGCUGGCUGCAUGGGAACCAGGAGCUUCCCCAAAACAGUUACCUGGUGUGGGACCCCCUGAAGGAGCCCGAUGAGGGCGCCAUCACCUAUGCUGUGACCAGCGUGCUACGGGUGACAGCCUCAUCCUGGAAGCAGGGGGACAACUUCUCCUGCGUGGUGGGCCAUGAGUCUCUGCCCCUAGGGUCCUUCACCCAGAAGACCAUCGACCACCAGUCGGGUAAACCCACCCAGGUCAACGUGUCUGUGAUCAUGUCGGAGGCAGACGGCACCUGUUACUGAGCAGACUGCCAACCCUGUCCCUUCAAUAAACACCAUGCUCGCCCAAAGUA